CUGACUACGUGACAUCCUGUUCGCAAAGGCUGAAAGUAUUUGAGGAGAGUCUCUGACAAACCAAACAUUCUGCAGUCAUUAGCAAAGUAGACUCCCAUAUCCAGGAGAAUCAUGUCUAUGUAUUAAAUAUCCAGAGUCAUAGCUGUUGGAAAAAGGACGAGCCAGAGGAAGAACCCUAUCUAGGCCCUGAAGGAAUUGUGUCAAGCUCAGAACUUUUAAGGCAGAGUACAUCGAGUCAUUGUUGAUCCUGGGCAGCCUCCAGCAGUAAUGCUGAAUAUGAUCCUGAGUUAACAAGCCAGUGAAAGGCUAUCUGACCUCUGUGAGCUCCUG